rnacentral:rRNA from 1 species
GAAGAGCCUUUCGGAGGUGGAUUAGUGGCGAACGGGUGAGUAACACGUGGGCAAUCUGCCCUUCACUCUGGGACAAGCCCUGGAAACGGGGUCUAAUACCGGAUAACACUCUGUCCCGCAUGGGGCGGGGUUGAAAGCUCCGGCGGUGAAGGAUGAGCCCGCGGCCUAUCAGCUUGUUGGUGGGGUGAUGGCCUACCAAGGCGACGACGGGUAGCCGGCCUGAGAGGGCGACCGGCCACACUGGGACUGAGACACGGCCCAGACUCCUACGGGAGGCAGCAGUGGGGAAUAUUGCACAAUGGGCGCAAGCCUGAUGCAGCGACGCCGCGUGAGGGAUGACGGCCUUCGGGUUGUAAACCUCUUUCAGCAGGGAAGAAGCGUGAGUGACGGUACCUGCAGAAGAAGCGCCGGCUAACUACGUGCCAGCAGCCGCGGUAAUACGUAGGGCGCAAGCGUUGUCCGGAAUUAUUGGGCGUAAAGAGCUCGUAGGCGGCUUGUCGCGUCGGUUGUGAAAGCCCGGGGCUUAACCCCGGGUCUGCAGUCGAUACGGGCAGGCUAGAGUGUGGUAGGGGAGAUCGGAAUUCCUGGUGUAGCGGUGAAAUGCGCAGAUAUCAGGAGGAACACCGGUGGCGAAGGCGGAUCUCUGGGCCAUUACUGACGCUGAGGAGCGAAAGCGUGGGGAGCGAACAGGAUUAGAUACCCUGGUAGUCCACGCCGUAAACGUUGGGAACUAGGUGUUGGCGACAUUCCACGUCGUCGGUGCCGCAGCUAACGCAUUAAGUUCCCCGCCUGGGGGAGUACGGCCGCAAGGCUAAAACUCAAAGGAAUUUGACGGGGGGCCCGCACAAGCAGCGGGAGCAUGUGGCUUAAUUUCGACGCAAGCGCGAAGAACCCUUACCAAGGGCUUGAACAUACAUCGGAAGGCAUCAGAGAUGGUGCCCCCCCUUG